ACCAUCGGUGGUUCAGUGUUAGAAUGCUCGCCUGCCACGCGGUCGGCCCGGGUUCAAUUCCCGGCCGAAGCA
rnacentral:tRNA from 1 species